rnacentral:rRNA from 1 species
CAGGCCUNGACAUCCUGGGAACCCUCCCGAAAAGGAGGGGUUCCCUUCGGGGAGCCCAUGACAGGUGCUGCAUGGUUGUCGUCAGCUCGUGUCGUGAGAUGUUGGGUUAAGUCCCGCAACGAGCGCAACCCUCGCCAUUAGUUGCCAGCAUUUNGGUGGGCCAUUUNAAGGGGACCCCCUNUAAAAUUAGGAGGAAGGGGGGGAUGACGUCAAUUCAUCAUGCCCCUUACGGCCUGGGCUACACACGUGUUCCAAUGGCCGGUACAGNGGGCAGCCACCUCGGGAGGGGGAGNNAAUCCUNAAAGCCGGUCCCAGUUUGGAUUNCAGUNUGCAACUCGACNNCAUGAANCGGAAUUNNUNAUGNUG